CCAGACACAGGGAUUGCCUCAGUAACGGCGAGUGAAGCGGCAAAAGCUCAAAUUUGAAAUCCUCUUUUUGAGGAAUUGUAAUUUGAAGAUUGUGUUUUGGAGACGACCGUGUCUAUGUUCCUUGGAACAGGACGUCACAGAGGGUGAGAAUCCCGUGCGGCACGGCCCCCGUCUCCUUAUAAAGCACUCUCGACGAGUCGAGUUGUUUGGGAAUGCAGCUCAAAGUGGGUGGUAAAUUCCAUCUAAAGCUAAAUACAGGCGAGAGACCGAUAGCGAACAAGUACAGUGAUGGAAAGAUGAAAAGCACUUUGAAAAGAGAGUGAAACAGUACGUGAAAUUGUUGAAAGGGAAGGGUAUGCCGUCAGAUUGUCAGUGUGGGUAAGAAGUGGAGUAAAAAGACUGUGGAAUGUGGCCCUCGGGUGUUAUAGCCAUAGUUCAUGCUCCAUUUCUUUCCGAGGCCUGCUUUUAGGACACCGACGUAAUGACGGUACACCGCCCGUCUUGAAACACGGACCAAGGAGUCUAACGUCUAUGCGAGUGUGUGGGUGUAA
rnacentral:rRNA from 1 species